rnacentral:lncRNA from 13 species
AUGAGAAGACCUUCUUCUGUUUGCUUUCAAAUUCUCCCUUGGAACAGAGUCUCUGACCCACAAGCCAGGGUCUUCCUGAUCACCUUGAAGUCUGUCUUUAAGUGUGCAUCAUUUCAGUUAUUGGCAAUGGUUUCAUCUGAUUUGGACAGUUUCUCCUCUAUCAUAAAAAGAUGCUUCCUGCCCUCGAACAUUGGCCUCCAACUUCUUCAGUUUUGGGACUUGGACUGGCUCUCCUUGCUCCUCAGCACUGGAAAGGCUACCGAUAUGUGGGACCAUAUUCCCUUGCAGUACUGGACAGUGGCAGCGAGCUGCAAUUUCAAGUCAGUCACAUGAUUAGGAGGGUAAACAGAUACUUGAUCUCCUCCUGAAAAACAUCACACCCGCCAAACUAUCAAGUGUAGGUUGCUCCAGUGCAUUCUACCAGCUAUUCUUGAGAGUCCUCAGGAGAGAGAUUGAUGACACUGUCUCUGCAGCUUUCUCAUCACCCAGCAACUAAUUUUAGUUCAAUCCUUCAAACAUUCUUCAGGCACAGUGAGCUUUCUCACAUUGAUGGUGAGAACUCACACUACCAUCCUGUUUUUCACGUUCAUUACAGUAUUCAAUAUAUUAUAUGAGAUAUUCAACAGUCUGUUAUAAAAUAGGCUUUGUAUUAGAUGAUUUUGUCCAACUAUAGGCUACUGUAAGUGUUCUGAGCAUGUUUAAGGUAGGCUAAGCUAAGCUAUGACAUUUGGUAGGUUAGGUGUGUUAAUUGAAGUUUCAACUCGUGAUAUUUCCAACUUACGUUGGGUUUAUCAGGAUGUAAUCCCAUCAUAAGUUGAGGAAUAUCUAUGCUCUGUUUUAGCCAACAUCUUUUAAUCAGUUCAUGUGUGUUUCUUCAUUUUGUUAUGUGAACUUGUAGUUUGUUUAAUUUCAUUGUUGUAUAUAAUUUCACAUAUGCAUACACCAGAAAUUAUUUUGUAUUCUACUUUGAUAAAUAGUUGUUUCCAGUUUUUUAGCUACUGUAAAUGGUAUUUCUAUGUACUAAAAAUGUCAUUUGGUUCAUUUAUUUAUGCAUUUCUGUUGAAUAUAUACUUGGAAGUGGAGUUACUGAAUAAUAAAGGAUGCUUUAUUUAUAAAAUAUGUAAGGGC